rnacentral:rRNA from 1 species
GAUCAUGGCUCAGGAUGAACGCUGGCGGCGUGCCUAACACAUGCAAGUCGAGCGAAGCACUUUGCUUAGAUUCUUCGGAUGAAGAGGAUUGUGACUGAGCGGCGGACGGGUGAGUAACGCGUGGGUAACCUGCCUCAUACAGGGGGGAUAACAGUUAGAAAUGACUGCUAAUACCGCAUAAGACCACAGCACCGCAUGGUGCGGGGGUAAAAACUCCGGUGGUAUGGGAUGGACCCGCG